rnacentral:rRNA from 1 species
AGUUUCGAUUAUGGCUCCAGUUGAACGCUGGCGGGAUGCUUUACAUGCAAGUCGAACGGCGGCACGGACUUCGAUGCGGUGGCGAGUGGCGAACGGGUGAGUAAUGUAUCGGAACGUGCCUAGUAGCGGGGGAUAACUACGCCGAAAGCGGCUAUGCCGCAUGCAACCCUUUGGGGAAAGCAGGGGACCGGCGGCUGCACUAUUGAAGCGGCCGAUAUCGGAUUAGCUAGUUGGUGGGGCUGUGGCUCGCCAAGGCGACGAUCCGUAGCUGGUUUGAGAGGACGACCAGCCACACUGGGACUGAGACACGGCCCAGACUCCUACGGGAAGGCAGUGGGGAAUUUUGGACAAUGAGGAAACCCUGAUCUGACCAUCCGCGUGUGCGAUGAAGGCCUUCGGGUUGUAAGCCUUUGGCAGGAAAGAAAUGGCACGGGAUAAUACCCCGUGCAAUGACCGUACCUGCAGAAUAAGCACCGGCUAACUACGUGCCAGCAGCCGCGGUAAUACGUAGUGCAAAGCGUUAAUCAGAUUACUGGGCGUAAAGCGUGCGCAGGCGGUUCGGAAAGAAAGAUGUGAAAUCCCAGAGCUUAACUUUGGAACUGCAUUUUUAACUACCGAGCUAGGUGUGUCGGAGGGAGGUGGAAUUCCGCGUGUAGCAGUGAAAUGCGUAGAUAUGCGGAGGAACACCGAUGGCGAAGGCAGCCUCCUGGGGUUACUGACGCUCAUGCGAAGAAAGCGUGGGGAGCAAACAGGGUUGAAUACCCUAGUCGUCCACUUUAAACGAUAUCAACUAGCUGUUGGGGCCUUCGGGCCUUGGUAGCGCAACUAACGUGGAGAUUGACCCGCCUGGGAGAUACGAUUCAUGAAUUAAAACUCGAAAAGGAAUUGACGGGGACCCGCACAAGCGGUGGAUGAUGUGGAUUAAUUCGAUGCAACGCGAAAAACCUUACCUACCCUUGACAUGUCUGGAAUCCCGAAAGAGAUUUGGGAGUGCUCGCAAGAGAACCGGAACACAGGUGCUGCGGCUAUCGAUGACUCAAUCCGUGAGAUGUUGGGUUGGUUCCCGCAACGAGCGCAGCCCUUGUCAUUGGACGCCCGAAGGGCACUCUAAUGAGACUGCCGGUGACAAACCCGGAGGAAGGUGGGGAUGACGUCAAGUCCUCAUGGCCCGCUAUGGUGGGCUUCACGAUCAUACAAUGGUCGGGACAGAGAGAUUACGCCAACCCGCGAGGGGAGCCAAUCUGACCCGAUCGUAGUCGGAUCGCAGUCUGCAACUCGACUGCGUGAAGUCGGAAUAUCGCUAGUAAUCGCGGAUCAGCAUGUCGCGGUGAAUACGUUCCCGGGUCUUGUACACCGCCCGUCACACCAUGGGAGUGGGUUUUACCAGAAGUAGUUAGCCUAACCGUAAGGAGAGGCUUGAUUACCACGGUAAGUUCAUGACUGGGGUGAAAUUAACACUUAGGAGUAG